rnacentral:snRNA from 1 species
GGGACGGAAACGAUUCGUUUCCUCUAUGUAUUAAUCGGAUUUUUGAACUUGGAGUAUGGUGCUGGAGCUUGCUCCACCCUGCUCACGGGUUGUCCUGGUAUUGCAGUACCUCCAGGUUCGGCUCACGUUUC